ACCCCAAAAGGGAAGAAGGGGACAAGAAAAUGGAUGGAUGGAUGAAUGAAUGUCACAUCUUUAAAACAGAUCUUUGUAACAUAUUGAUAACUCAACAAAUCAUAAUAAAAGGCACCACCCGCCUCUGAAUUCAUCGCCCCCUCUGACACGCCCUCACUGGCUGAGCGACUGCCACAGGUCUCUCACUCGCCAACAUUUCAGCAUUUUAUCCCCAAGUAUUCCCCACGAUGCUCAAGGAGUCAGGAGGCGAUAACCAGCGGUGUCAAACUCCAGGCCUUGAGAACCCGCCUCCGUCUCGUCUGCUGCUUAUUACCUGGAUCAGGUGUUUGGCAUUAAGGAGCUUCAAUGGAAAGUUGAUUGUAGAACAUAUUGGCCCUCGAGGCCUGGAUUCUGACACUCCUGCUUUAGAUCAAAAUCCCUAAAAGGAGUUCUAAUUUGUAGCUAGUACUAAACUACGGGUCUGCAACCUGUGGCUCUAGAGCAAAGUCUGGCUCUUCUACUCACAAGUAGUAAAAAAAUAGGUAAAAUAAGUUAUUACUCUGUAAGCCUCUGUUGGAAAGAUUGUUUGGGGGUUCAGUUGGCCUGAGUCUGUUUUCUUCUUUGUUUACUCAGCCCCCUCCACGUGUUGCUCACCUUCCCCCAUAGCCUCCCCCUUUCUUAGAUGCUCUCCCAAAUAUGGUCUUGUUCCUGUCUUUGUUUCUUAAGAUUUGAUCACCUUCCCCCGAGUUUCUCCCCCUUUCUUAUCAUGGAAAACAACUGCUUUUUACAUGCUCUCCCAAAUAUGGUGUUGUUCCUGUCUUUGUGUCUUAACCUAAUAAAGGUCUAAUGCUAAUGAAGGAGGCCAGAGCGGAGGAGGAAGACAUACUGCAAACAUGUGCUGACUCCUCUGUCUCUCCUUUUUGCAGCAAAGAGUGUUUUGAAAUUAACCUGACUGGUUCGUGUCUUUUUAUUAACUUUAUUAAGAAGAGACCUUUUAUUUAAACCCAACAUAACUUGGUGCCGAAACCCGGGAGACAACAGCCGUUUGGAAGAGGACGACGGGGGAAGGAGACCGAAGUCUGUCGACAGCCGGGCCCACAGGGGACCGAAACCAAAGUCCUCGGACAUCGAGAGAUAGGACGAGGCCGGUCGUAGGACCCUCCACCGCCGCCCUCCGAAAGACGGUGACGUCUCCUGAGAGCGCGAACCAGGUGGAGCUGCUGCUGCCAGGAGACCAGAUCCUGAUCAAGGUGAUCAAAAGGAAGUGGCUGACUGGCUGACUCCACGCUGGGAAGGCCCGUUCGCAGUCCAGCUAACAACCUCAACAGCUGUGAAAAUUGCUGAAAGAGCCACCUGGAAACAUCAGAGCCAUUGCAAGAAGCUGGUACCUCUGAAAGAGGAGUAAGGGUGUAAGUCACCCGGUAUCAAAACCCUUGGGUGCUGAAGAAAUCAUCUGAUCCCUUACUCCUAGCUCGACUCCUCAGCAGGUCACAAAACCCAGAGCAAUGAAGACCUCUGUGAUCGCCCUUGAACUCCUAGCACUGCAUGCUUGGAGGACACAAGCAUGACAGACACGCCAAAAACGUUUUGUGGUCAUUACAAUGUCCAGAGACUCAAUGACUGGACACAAGCUGGAUUUGAGGCUGUCCACGAGCAGCUAGCAGCUACCUCGCUUAUGGCCUUCCAGAACCGCAUUGCCAUAGACAUGCACCUGGCCGAGAAAGGUGGAGCCUGUGUUCUCUUUGGAGCUGAGUGUUGUACGUUUAUUCCUAACAACACAGCUGCAGAUGGGAGCCUGACUCGUGCCGUUGAAGGCCUCAGAAGCCUGAACAAGAAGAUGAAAGAACAUUCCGGAGUAGAUACCUCCAUGUGGGACAGUUGGCUAAACAUUUUUGGGGCCUACAAAGGCCUCAUUUCUUCAGUGCUUAUUUCUCUUGUUGUUUUACUGUGAUUCUAACCACCUGCGAGUGCUGUCUCAUUCCUUGUCUUCGCGCACUUAUCCAACGCCUUAUUACCAAUGCCAUCAAAAGUCAGUCUGACCCUGCCAGUCUCCACCUUCUGGCAGAGCAGAUUGACUCUGAAGAACACGAUGUUGAAGAAGAUGAAUAUAUUGCUUAAAGCCUUGACAAAUGCCAUUUGUGUUGUUUGCAGCCUUAUGUGUGAUCGCACCUUAAUGGUGGGUCGAGGGGGAAUUUCGCCCCCAGGGUUUUUGCCCCCUCUGCAAGUCUGGCAUCUUUUCUUAACUUGGUUAAUGAGAGCCUAUACCUUAACUCAUUUAUGUGAGCGGUACAAUGCUUGAUGUUUUAAGUUUCGUAAUUUAGAUGUUGAACCCAAGUGUGGCCAUCUGUACCCCCAAGAGGAGGGAGUGUUGGAAAGAUUGUUUGGGGGUUCAGUUGGCCUGAGUCUGUUUUCUUCUUUGUUUACUCAGCCCCCUCCACGUGUUGCUCACCUUCCCCCAUAGCCUCCCCCUUUCUUAGAUGCUCUCCCAAAUAUGGUCUUGUUCCUGUCUUUGUUUCUUAAGAUUUGAUCACCUUCCCCCGAGUUUCUCCCCCUUUCUUAUCAUGGAAAACAACUGCUUUUUACAUGCUCUCCCAAAUAUGGUGUUGUUCCUGUCUUUGUGUCUUAACCUAAUAAAGGUCUAAUGCUAAUGAAGAAGGCCAGAGCGGAGGAGGAAGACAUACUGCAAACAUGUGCUGACUCCUCUGUCUCUCCUUUUUGCAGCAAAGAGUGUUUUGAAAUUAA